UUUCUUAUGAGCUGAGUGGAGUUUGUUCUGGGCAAUUGUCCAGUAUCUAGGUUUCGUUUUGACUUUGUAACCCAGAACGGAAAGACUCCAGGAACAUAUUUGGGGAAAUACUUCUAAAGGAUGGACCUUCCUUCCAUGCUUUAAAGAAGUUUCAGCCAGGAGUACGCAGGCCUCUCACUGCUGUGGCCCCUCCCGUUGCGGAGCACAGGCUCCGGACGCGCAGGCUCAGUGGCCAUGGCUCACGGGCUCAGCCGCUCCGCGGCAUGUGGGAUCUUCCUGGACCGGGGCACGAACCCGUGUCCCCUGCAUCGGCAGGCGGACCCUCAACCACUGCGCCACCAGGGAAGCCCUACAUUCUUUUUCAUAUUCUUUCCAUUAUGAUUUAUCACAGGAUAUUGAAUAUAGUUCCCUCUGCUAUACAGUAGGAGUGGCUUUUUCCCCUUGAUUCUAUUUUUGUGGUAUAUUACAUUGAUGGAUUUUCAAUUGUUGCCAACCUUGCAUUCCUAGGAUAAAGCCAGCCUUCUCCACUCCCAGCCUGGGGACCUGUUACCAUAAACCAUCCCAGCCGGCCACUCAGCCCCUCCACCACUGAGGGGGCAUCCAGAUAAACAGGGCUCCUUGUCUGCACAGUGCCAACCUGUUCACCACUACAUCUAUCAGGUCCUCUGGCUCCUAAAUAAACUAAUGCUUAAGGGCUCAGCCAAGGAAACCACUGCUCUGCUUUUCCCAACAGUCAGAAGUAAGAUUCUCAAACAAAAGAGGAAAAAAAAAAAAUAACAGGAGAGACGUUUGUUUCUUUGUGGUCAUUCAGCUUCCCUGUUGGGUGGGCCAAGGGAUCCUUGGACCUAAUUUUCUGGCCGCAUCCUAUGGGAUCUGCGGGCUAACUUGUUCCUGGAGAAAGUGUGUUUUUUCUUCCAACUAUAGCCUCUCACCUGUUUGACAGGCCUCAUAAAAUAAGGUAAUCCUCUCAGGGCUGGAAUAAAAUAUGUGGACGUUUUGGGCAGG